CAGCCGCCGCGGUAAUACCGGCGGCCCGAGUGGCGGUCACUAUUAUUGGGCUUAAAGCGUCCGUAGCCGGGUUGGGAAGUCCUCCGGGAAAUCUGGCCGCUUAACGGUCAGAAUGCCGGAGGAUACUCCCAGCCUAGGGAGCGGGAGAGGCCGAGGGGAUUCCCGGGGUAGGGGUGAAAUCCUAUAAUCCCGGGAGGACCACCUGUGGCGAAGGCGCUCGGCUGGAACGCGUCCGACGGUGAGGGACGAAGGCCAGGGGAGCAAACCGGAUUAGAUACCCGGGUAGUCCUGGCUGUAAACGAUGCGGACUUUGUGUCGGACAAGCUAUGAGCUUGUCCGGUGCCGGAGGGAAACCGUUAAGUCCGCCGCCUGGGGAGUACGGCCGCAAGGGUGAAACUUAAAGGAAUUGGCGGG
rnacentral:rRNA from 1 species